ACUUUUAAUAAUUUUUUUUGUAAUUAAUUAUGAAUAAAAUAUUAAUUUAGUUUUUAGUACUAUUAGAAAUAAUUUUUAAUUUAAUACACUGUUAAGGGUUUAUUUUUAAGUUUUUAAAGAAUUUAAUUAGUACCUUUUGUGUCAGGGUAUGUUAAUUAAUUUAAAUAUUUUAUUGUCCCGAAUUGGAAAGGUCAAAUUUUUUAUGAAUUUAUUUGUUGUAGUAAUUUUAAUAAUAAAUUGUUAGUAGUUAUAUGUUAAUCGUUUUUUGUAUAUCUGGUUACUAAGGAUUUAAUUAAAUUAUGCAUUUUAGUAUUUUAUUGUAGUGAAAAUUAAUUUAUUUUUGAUGUAAAUUCAUUAGGGCUAAGCUUAUUGAAAAUCAAUUACAAUUUAAAAUUUAAAUUGUUUAUUUACUUUGAUAUUUUGUAUUAAGUUUUUAUUAAAUUAACAUUUCUAUAAAAUAAUUUUUUUACUUUUAUUUAUUUACUUAGUUAAUUGUCUAAAUGUAUAAAAUUUUUUAAUAAUGAUUUAAUUAGUAUAAUUUAUUAAUAUUUUAAAAUGAAUUCAACAAAUUUUAUUUCCAACUGUUUAACAAAAACAUUUCUUUAAGGUUAUUUUUAAGGUAUAUCCUGCCCUAUGGAUUUCUUCUAAAUGGCUGCAGUAUUUUGACUGUGCAAAGGUAGCAUAGUAAUUAGCUUUUUAAUUGGAAGCUGGUAUGAAUGGAUUUAUGAGAUAUAUAUUUUAUUUAUUUUAUUAUUAAAAAUUUAAUUUUAAGUUAAAAUGCUUAAUUAGUUUCUUGGGACGAUAAGACCCUAUAGAACUUAAAAUUUUUAUUUUUAAUUAAUCUUUCAAUUAUAAGUUAAUUUUAGUAGAUAUUAUUCAUUGGGGUGAUGUGUAAAUUUGAACUUUAUAAUUAAAAUUCAUUUAUUUGUGAUUUUGAAGAUCUUAUUUUUAGAUUGUUAGAUAUAGUUACCUUAGGGAUAACAGCGUAAUAUUAAUGGGGAGUUCACAUUUAUAUUAAUCUUUGCGACCUCGAUGUUGAAUUAAGGAUAAGCUAAGAGGCAGUUUUCUUAGGUUUAAGUCUGUUCGACUUUUUUACCCUUACAUGAUUUGAGUUCAAACCGGCGUGAGCCAGGUUGGUUUCUAUCUUAGAAUAUUUAAUUUUAAUUAGUACGAAAGGACCAUUAAGA
rnacentral:rRNA from 1 species